rnacentral:rRNA from 1 species
CUACGGGCGGCUCCAGUGGGGAAUAUUGGACAAUGGGGGAAACCCUGGUCCAGCAAUGCCGCGUGUGUGAAGAAGGCCUGCGGGUUGUAAAGCACUUUCGGUUGGGAGGACUGCUUCUAGCACUAAUAUUGUUGGAAGUUGACGUUACCUUCAGAAGAAGCACCGGCUAACUCCGUGCCAGCAGCCGCGGUAAUACGGAGGGUGCAAGCGUGAAUCGGAAUUACUGGGCGUAAAGCGCGCGUAGGCGGCUAGAUCAGUCGGGUGUGAAAGCCCCGGGCUUAACCUGGGAACUGCAUCCGAUACUGUCUAGCUUGAGUACAGGAGAGGAGAGUGGAAUUCCACAUGUAGCGGUGAAAUGCGUAGAUAUGUGGAGGAACACCAAUGGCGAAGGCAGCUCUCUGGCCUGAUACCGACGCUGAGGUGCGAAAGCGUGGGGAGCAAACAGGAUUAGAUACCCGCGUAGUC